UGGGGAAUAUUGCACAAUGGGCGAAAGCCUGAUGCAGCGACGCCGCGUGAGGGAUGACGGCCUUCGGGUUGUAAACCUCUUUCAGUAGGGACGAAGCGCAAGUGACGGUACCUGCAGAAGAAGCACCGGCUAACUACGUGCCAGCAGCCGCGGUAAUACGUAGGGUGCGAGCGUUGUCCGGAAUUACUGGGCGUAAAGAGCUCGUAGGCGGUUUGUCACGUCGUCUGUGAAAUCCUAGGGCUUAACCCUGGACGUGCAGGCGAUACGGGCUGACUUGAGUACUACAGGGGAGACUGGGAUUUCUGGUGUAGCGGUGGAAUGCACAGAUAUCAGGAAGAACACCGAUGGCGAAGGCAGGUCUCUGGGUAGUAACUGACGCUGAGGAGCGAAAGCAUGGGUAGCGAACAGG
rnacentral:rRNA from 1 species